GCUGCUCUAAUAAUCACACACAUCUUCGUGGUGAGUAGUGGAAACGAUUUUAUGGUCGACUGAGAUGUGAUA
rnacentral:ribozyme from 12 species